rnacentral:rRNA from 1 species
UACGUAGGGGGCAAGCGUUGUCCGGAAUCAUUGGGCGUAAAGAGCGUGUAGGCGGCCCGGUAAGUCCGCUGUGAAAGUCCAGGGCUCAACCCUGGGAUGCCGGUGGAUACUGUCGGGCUCGAGUCCGGAAGAGGAGUGUGGAAUUCCUGGUGUAGCGGUGAAAUGCGGCAGAUAUCAGGAGGAACACCAAUGGCGAAGGCAGCACUCUGGGACGUGACUGACGCUGAGACGCGAAAGCGUGGGAGCAACAGGAUAGAACCCUUGGUAGUCCAA